UAGUUUUUUUAGAAAUAAAUUUAAUUUACAAAUUUUUGAUUUUUUAGUUAUUUAUUUAAUUGAAAAAUUUAUUUAUUUGAAUAUUUUAAGGGAUAAGCUUUAAAAUAAAUUAUUAAAAAUUAAUAGUGGUAAUAUAAAAUGUAUGCUUAGAAUUAGCAAUCAUUAUAAAGUUUGUUAUAAAUUAUUUUAUAAAUUAUAUUAUUUAUUAUAUUUUAAUUUAUUUAUAAAAAUUUUUUUAUUAAUUAUAUAUAAAAAGGAAUAAUGAUAGAAUUAGUAUAUUUUUUUGUUUAUGUAAUUUUAUGUGAUAAGUUUGUAUAAAGAACUCGGCAAAAAUUUUACCCGCCUGUUUAACAAAAACAUGUCUUUUUGAGUUAUUUUUAAAGUCUGACCUGCCCACUGAAAUUAUUUAAAUGGCCGCAGUAUUCUAACUGUGCAAAGGUAGCAUAAUCAUUAGUCUUUUAAUUGAAG
rnacentral:rRNA from 1 species